rnacentral:rRNA from 1 species
UACAGAGGUCUCAACCGUUGUUCGGAUUCAUUGGGCGUAAAGGGUGCGUAGGCGGCGGGGCAAGUCAGGUGUGAAAUCUCGGGGCUCAACCCCGAAACUGCACUUGAUACUGCCUUGCUCGAGUACUGGAGAGGAGACUGGAAUUUACGGUGUAGCAGUGAAAUGCGUAGAUAUCGUAAGGAAGACCAGUGGCGAAGGCGAGUCUCUGGACAGUUACUGACGCUGAGGAGCGAAAGCCAGGGGAGCAAACGGG